rnacentral:rRNA from 1 species
UCGAGGAUAUUUAGCAAUGCUCGAAAGAGUGACUAUGCGACGCCGCGUGUGCGAUGAAGGUCUUCGGAUCGUAAAGCACUGUCGACCGGGAGGAAUCUCUGGAGGCUUAAUAAGCUUGCAGGGUGACAGUACCGGUAGAGGAAGCCACGGCUAACUCCGUGCCAGCAGCCGCGGUAAUACGGAGGUGGCAGGCGUUACUCGGAUUGAUUGGGUGUAAAGGGUGUGUAGGUGGCGAUGUAAGUCGAAUGUGAAAGCCCUUGGCUUAACCAAGGAACUGCAUUCGAAACUGCAUUGCUUGAGCGACAGAGAGGAAAGUGGAAUUCCCGGUGUAACAGUGAAAUGUGUAGAUAUCGGGAGGAACACCAGUGGCGAAGGCGACUUUCUGGCUGUCUGCUGACACUGAAACACGAGAGCUAGGGGAGCAAACA